AUUGAACGCUGGCGGCAUGCCUUACACAUGCAAGUCGAACGGCAGCACGGGAGCAAUCCUGGUGGCGAGUGGCGAACGGGUGAGUAAUAUAUCGGAACGUGCCCAGUCUGGGGGAUAACGUAGCGAAAGCUACGCUAAUACCGCAUACGAUCUAUGGAUGAAAGCGGGGGAUCGCAAGACCUCGCGCGAUUGGAGCGGCCGAUAUCAGAUUAGGUAGUUGGUGAGGUAAAGGCUCACCAAGCCGACGAUCUGUAGCUGGUCUGAGAGGACGA
rnacentral:rRNA from 1 species